GCCUCAGUGGCACAAGGUGUGCGCCCUCUCCAAGUAGGUGUUGGAUUUCUUCUCUGAGGAGCUCUGGGGUUCGAUUCCCCACUGAGGCA